CACCAGGCGCGAAAACUUUACAAUGCCGGCAACGGCGAUAAGGGAACCUCGAGUGCCAGGUUACAAAUCUGGCUGUCGUGAUGCCUAAAAAGCAUUGCAUAGCAAGGGCCGGGCAAGACCGGUGCCAGCCGCCGCGGUAACACCGGCGGCUCGAGUGGUAACCGUUAUUAUUGGGUCUAAAGGGUCUGUAGCCGGCCGGAUAAGUCUCUUGGGAAAUCUGGCAGCUUAACUGUCAGGCUUUCAGGAGAUACUGUCUGGCUCGAGGCCGGGAGAGGUGAGAGGUACUUCAGGGGUAGGGGUGAAAUCUUGUAAUCCUUGAAGGACCACCAGUGGCGAAGGCGUCUCACCAGAACGGACCUGACGGCAAGGGACGAAAGCUAGGGGCACGAACCGGAUUAGAUACCCGGGUAGUCCUAGCCGUAAACGAUACUCGCUAGGUGUCGGCCACGGUGCGACCGUGGUCGGUGCCGUAGGGAAGCCGUGAAGCGAGCCACCUGGGAAGUACGGCCGCAAGGCUGAAACUUAAAGGAAUUGGCGGGGGAGCACAAGGGCGAUUCGC
rnacentral:rRNA from 1 species